rnacentral:rRNA from 1 species
GACGAACGCUGGCGGCGUGCUUAACACAUGCAAGUCGAACGGUGAAGGGACCGGUUUUUGCUGGUUCUGGAUGAGUGGCGAACGGGUGAGUAACACGUGAGUAACCUGCCCCCUUCUUCUGGAUAACCGCAUGAAAGUGUGGCUAAUACGGGAUAUUCUGCGCCUGCUGCAUGGUGGGUGUGGGAAAGAUAUUGUUUCGGUGGGGGAUGGGCUCGCGGCCUAUCAGCUUGUUGGUGGGGUGAUGGCAUACCAAGGCGGUGACGGGUAGCCGGCCUGAGAGGGUGGACGGUCUGGCCGGGGCGGAGGAACGGCCCAGACUCAUACGGGAGGCAGCAGUGAGGAAUAUUGCACAAUGGGCGCAAGACUGAUGCAGCGACGCCGCGUGAGGGAUGGAGGCCUGCGGGUUGUAAACCUCUUUCGCCAGUGAAGUAGGCCGGUCUCUUUUGUGGGUGGUUUGACGGUAGCUGGAUAAGAAGCGCCGGCUAACUACGUG